GUAGGUGGCAAGCGUUGUCCGGAUUUAUUGGGUUUAAAGGGUGCGUAGGUGGCCCUGUAAGUCAGUGGUGAAAUAUCUCAGCUUAACUGAGAGGGUGCCAUUGAUACUGCAGGGCUUGAGUACAGAUGAGGUAGGCGGAAUUGACGGUGUAGCGGUGAAAUGCAUAGAUAUCGUCAAGAACACCGAUAGCGAAGGCAGCUUACCAAGCUGUAACUGACACUGAGGCACGAAAGUGUGGGGAUCAAACAGGAUUAGAUACCCUGGUAGUCCACACUGUAAACGUUGAUGACUCGACGUUGGCGAUACACUGCCAGCGUCCAAGAGCAAUCGUUAAGUCAUCCACCUGGGGAGUACGCCGGCAA
rnacentral:rRNA from 1 species